UAAACGACUCUCGGCAACGGAUAUCUCGGCUCUCGCAUCGAUGAAGAACGUAGCGAAAUGCGAUACUUGGUGUGAAUUGCAGAAUCCCGUGAACCAUCGAGUCUUUGAACGCAAGUUGCGCCCAAAGCCCUCGGGCUAAGGGCACGUCUGCCUGGGUGUCACGC
rnacentral:rRNA from 3 species